UAUGCUCCAAUGAAAUGCAUCAUAACACAGACAAUUCACAUAAGGGUUGGGUGAACUUGUCACCAAUUAGUCCAAGUUAACAUAGUGCCAGGCCGUAGCAUGGGGUCCUGGUCUUCCUGUCAUAACAUACAUUACUUACCAUUUCCCCAGGGCCUCCUCUGGGCUCCUGGUCUUCGAGUCUCACAACCGUGCCAGGCCGUAGAAUGGGGUCCUGGUCUUUCCUUACAUAGUGCCAGGCCAUAGCAUGGGGUCCUGGUCUUCCUGUCAUGGACUAAUUGGGUCAUCCAAUAUUCACCCACAUCAACAACAAUCGAUGCAAUGCGGCAUAUUCGUGGAAACUAAUGCAAUCAUCCUAUGGCAUAAUCGUGAUGCAUGAAACAUG
rnacentral:lncRNA from 1 species